GCGUGAGUGAUGAAGGCCUUAGGGUUGUAAAGCUCUUUUACCAGGGAUGAUAAUGACAGUACCUGGAGAAUAAGCUCCGGCUAACUCCGUGCCAGCAGCCGCGGUAAUACGGAGGGAGCUAGCGUUGUUCGGAAAUACUGGGCGUAAAGCGCACGUAGGCGGCGCAGCAAGUCAGGGGUGAAAUCCCGGGGCUCAACCUCGGAACUGCCUCUGAAACUGCAGUGCUAGAAUCUUGGAGAGGCGAGUGGAAUUCCGAGUGUAGAGGUGAAAUUCGU
rnacentral:rRNA from 1 species